ensembl:snRNA U6 U6 spliceosomal RNA
GUACUUGCUUCAACAGAACAUAUACUAAAAUUGGAACGAUACAGAGAAGAUUAUCAUGGCCCCUGUUCAGGGAUGAUACACAAACAACUGGCACAGCCCUGCUGUUA